rnacentral:misc_RNA from 1 species
GAUGAGAACGUAGCGAAAUGCGAUAAGUAAUGUGAAUUGCAGAAUUCAGUGAAUCAUCGAAUCUUUGAACGCACCUUGCGCCCUUUGGCUAUUCCGAAGGGCAUGCCUGUUUGAGUAUCGUGAACACCUCAACUCUCAUGGUUUGCCAUGAUGAGCUUGGACUUUGGGGGUUUUGCUGGCCUUUGGUCGGCUCCUCUCAAACGGAUCAGCUUUCCAGUGUUUGGUGGCGUCACGGGUGUGAUAACUAUCUACGCCUGUGGUUUUCUGCCAGAUAACCUUCAGCGAUGGAGGUUCGCUGGGGCUCAUAAAUGUCUCUCUUCAGUGGAGACAGCUUUUUGGACGUUUGAUCUCAAAUCAGGUAGGACUACCCGCUGAACUUAAGCAUAUCAAUAAGCGGAGGA